UACGUAGGGUGCGAGCGUUAAUCGGAAUUACUGGGCGUAAAGCGUGCGCAGGCGGUUGUGCAAGACAGAUGUGAAAUCCCCGGGCUUAACCUGGGAAUUGCAUUUGUGACUGCACGGCUAGAGUGUGUCAGAGGGGGGUAGAAUUCCACGUGUAGCAGUGAAAUGCGUAGAUAUGUGGAGGAAUACCGAUGGCGAAGGCAGCCCCCUGGGAUAACACUGACGCCCAUGCACGAAAGCGUGGGGAGCAAACAGG
rnacentral:rRNA from 1 species